ACUUAAAUUGAAGAGUUUGAUCAUGGCUCAGAUUGAACGCUGGCGGCAGGCCUAACACAUGCAAGUCGAGCGGUAGCACAGAGAGCUUGCUCUCGGGUGACGAGCGGCGGACGGGUGAGUAAUGUCUGGGAAACUGCCUGAUGGAGGGGGAUAACUACUGGAAACGGUAGCUAAUACCGCAUAACGUCGCAAGACCAAAGUGGGGGACCUUCGGGCCUCAUGCCAUCAGAUGUGCCCAGAUGGGAUUAGCUAGUAGGUGGGGUAACGGCUCACCUAGGCGACGAUCCCUAGCUGGUCUGAGA
rnacentral:rRNA from 1 species